UUCCGGUUGAUCCUGCCGGACCUGACUGCUAUCGGAUUGAUACUAAGCCAUGCGAGUCUUUGUAGUAAUACAAGGCAUACGGCUCAGUAACGCGUAGUCAACCUACCCUAUGGACAAGAAUAAUCUCGGGAAACUGAGCAUAAUUCUUGAUAGAUCAUAAUGCCUGGAAUGGUUUAUGGUUAAAAUGAUUCGUCGCCAUAGGAUGGGACUGCGGCCUAUCAGCUUGUUGGUGAGGUAAUGGCCCACCAAGGCGAUAACAGGUACGGGCUCUGAGAGGAGAAGCCCGGAGAUGGGUACUGAGACAAGGACCCAGGCCCUAUGGGGCGCAGCAGGCGAGAAAACUUUGCAAUGUGCGAAAGCACGACAAGGUUAAUCCGAGUGAUUUCUGCUAAAGGAAUCUUUUACCAGUUCUAAAAAUACUGGCGAAUAAGGGGUGGGCAAGUUCUGGUGUCAGCCGCCGCGGUAAAACCAGCACCUCAAGUGGUCAGGAGGAUUAUUGGGCCUAAAGCAUCCGUAGCCGGCUCUGUAAGUUUUCGGUUAAAUCUAUAUGCUCAACGUAUAGGCUGCCGAAAAUACUGCACAGCUAGGGAAUGGGAGAGGUAGACGGUACUCGGUAGGAAGGGGUAAAAUCCUUUGAUCUAUCGAUGACCACCUGUGGCGAAGGCGGUCUACCAGAACAUGUUCGACGGUGAGGGAUGAAAGCUGGGGGAGCAAACCGGAUUAGAUACCCGGGUAGUCCCAGCUGUAAACGAUGCAGACUAGAUAAUGCACUGGCACAUAGCCAGUGCAGUGUCUCAGGGAAGCCGUUAAGUCUGCCGCCUGGGAAGUACGUACGCAAGUAUGAAACUUAAAGGAAUUGGCGGGGGAGCACCACAAGGGGUGAAGCCUGCGGUUCAAUUGGAUUCAACGCCGGG
rnacentral:rRNA from 1 species